UGAGCAUAUUAGGAAGAGAAAACAGGCAUGAGAGGCACAGCUGGGUUGCUACUGUGGGCACGUUAAACCCAGCACGUGGAGCCUUUUGUUCCAUCUCUCCCAUGGCUUCCUAGCAGGAAUACUGCAGCAAAAAGGUUUGAUGUGAGAAUUCACUGAUAAAUGCACCCUCUUGUUCUGCUUCCUGGGUGAGAGGAGGAGCUGGAAUGAACUUGGCAAAUCAGAAACACGUGUUUCCAUCAGUGAGGCACGUUUGGGAGCUGAAAGCAUUCGCUUUGUGCCAAGCAGACUGCUGAAUGGAAGCUUUUCAGCAGUGGCAGUUUAUCAGCUGCUGGUGGAGGAGGUUUUAGAGCAGAACAACCCAUCUCCAAGCACCUGAGUCACGUCUUGCUUUAAAGAGAGCCUGUUCCACAUAGCCUGAUGCUCAAAAAGAAGGCUGCACCACCUCUCCUGCGCCGUGCUCAAAGCAUGUAUUCUUUGCAUGACGUUUGCAUGCUUUCUUUUGCUUGGAGAACAGUGCAGAAAGUCAAGUUAGAGCUCCUGAAGAAGUUAGAAGAGCCACUGCAAAACACACUCCCCACCUAAACGCUGCAUCCUGUGCAUCACAUUUGGCUAAUGUGCUGUGAUUAAAGGAACUGGAGACAAGUGUGGGUUGUUUUUUUUUUCCCCUCCC
rnacentral:lncRNA from 1 species